AAUCCACCCCUGCUCCGGCUUGCCCGGAGGAGGGCUGCCCGGGACAGCCCAGCGCCCCUGGCCCCAGCCUGUCCUCUCACUCCGCCUUGUCCCAGCCGGCUGGCUCCUGGGGCCAUCUUUUCACCCUCCUGGCGGGGCGGGGGCGGGGGUAUAUCUCCCGAACGCAGGUGAGGGGAUCGCCCGGGCACUUGCCGCCCUCUCCAGUGGGAACACUGGGCCGAAUCUCCCGACUGGCAGCCUGGCUCCUCAAGCUUGCCAGUGGGAUAUCAAGAAGGGAGGGUUUCAGUCCUAGCACUACCCCUGUUUUUAGGGGUGACCCCCUCCCUCCAGGUCACUCACCUGCCCUGGGGAAGUGAAGAAGGCAGAAAGCCUACCCUGCCCCGUGUGCUGUCUGGGGCUGCUGGACCAGGGGAAAUCCCAACUUGGCCGCUGCUGGCACAGCCCCCAAGGGACGCAGGACCUCUGUUUUUCAACCAUAAAAUAAUAGUAGCCCUACCUUGAUGGUUUGCUGUGAUGGGAAGAGAUUGUAAAGCACUAUGCUCCACUCGGGCAACAGACGCUGAGUAGUUUUCAAGGUCGCCGUUGCAGGGUCUAAUAGUGACCAGGAUGACACCCCACCCCUUUUCGGUCUGCCUCCCUGGGACUCCCCCUGGCUGGCUUUAGGGAACAGAGGAGGAGAAGGGGUUCAGAGAAGCCCAGACGGCUGAGUGAGGGUAGGGGUGGGCUAGCUCUGAUCCCUCCUAGCACUCUUGCCUCAGGCCGCCUCCAGAGCCUCCCUGUGGCCCGCGUAUGGGAGUUCCGCAAUGGAAGCAUUGCUGUCAUCUCUGAGUCCCCAGGGCUUGGCCCAGAGAGGUUCUGGGCAGCAUGGAGGAAUUAGCUCAGGGCUGAUCAACGCCAUGGGGCUAGCCAAAGGGUUGGGGAGCCCAGGUCCCAUGCUCCUUGGUAAGGCCCCUACUUAACUCUCGCGCACAACUAGUCCCCGCCCCACGUAUAGUCCUAGAGACUUGACUGGGUGUUCAUUUUCCAUCCAAAACUCUGGCCCAGGAGGCUUCUUCCUUCAUCUCCCUAAAGCUCCUGCAGAAGUAAGUUACUCUCCCAGGCGUGUCAUUUCCUUCACCCCAGCUCUCCCUCCAGGGCAGCACCCCAUUUUGCAGGCUAUAAAUAGACACACCCAUGCAACAUUCGACUUGCCAGUCACUCUACCUCCCUCCCGUAGAGGAAAUGCAUGGGUUAAUCCCAUUCUGGCGCAUUGCAAUCUGAGUGCUGUGACCAAUGCCAAACCUGGUUCCCAGGAUACCAGCAGGAAUGGGCAAAACUGUCUACCAGAUAGAGGUGGGUCAGGAGCUAGGAGAGGAAAGGAGGUAGGAGAAACUGAGGAAGGAACCUAACUGAGUGUUAAGCAAAGUGGAGGGCAAUGACACUCUGGAAUGGAAAGGUGGGUUUUGGGGUACUUUAAGUGACAAAUGGAAGUGGGGACUUGCUACAGGGACCAAGACCUUCUGAGCAAGAAUAAGAGAAAACAAGUGACCCCUGAGUCGUGGGAUCCUUUCUUGGUACAGCAAAUAGAUGCUUGUCCUUCCCCUGAGAACCUGACACAUCCACUGGAAAAUUCAGGAUGAGAUUAGGGAAAGGAAGUUUGCAUCUUUGUGGUCUGAUAAGUUGACCACAGUGACCCUGUGAAGGCAACAGGACACUAUAAAAAAUGCUUUAAAACAAAAACUUAAUUUUAAUUCACAGAUACAGGUAUAAAUAUACCCGUAUAUGCAUAUGUAUAUUUAGCCAUAAUGAGCAUCUUUCCAUG
rnacentral:lncRNA from 1 species